rnacentral:lncRNA from 1 species
GGGGGGUCCAAGGGAAAAAAGACGGAUUGAUUAUUUGUAAAGUAAAGCAUCUUUAUAGGUGUUACUAGAAGCUCUGACCAAACGAGUCGUGGAUCUAAUUGACUUUUGAAAACAACCAAGUCAAAUUAUCCCAACAUUUGUGCUUUAAUUUAUGAAUUUUGAUCCUCGUGUAAGAGAGUUUUAGAAAAUAUUCUACAAAAUCACGUGCAAAGGGGGUACAAGAUUCCAUGGUAGUGUAGAAAAAUUAGUAAACCAUGUUGGAUUAGCAAAUUUGGUUCAACUUUAGCUAGAACAAUGAGUUUCGUUGUAUUUUUGUUUGCCCUCGUGAUAGUAAAAGGGCAGCACAUUUUGUCGCCUCAUAUGUAGCUAGGCACGGUGGCUCUCAUUUGUGGGACUUUGUUGGUCUUGAUUUCUUUUUAAUAUUUUGGUGGAGGAUGCAAAUAUUUUCAUUUGAAUUUAAUAAAGUCUAACAAAAAUAAUAAUAUUAGGCAUCCAAUUUGGAGGAUUUAGCCUAUAUGGCUCGUUUGAAAGUACUUUUAAGAAUGACUAAAAGCGCUGAGAAAAUGAUUUUUGGAUUCCAAAAGUACUUGAAUUGCUUUCUUGAAAGAAGGAAUAGUUAUGUGCUUCUUCCAAUAAGUACUUUUUUUUCAAAAUUCACUUGUGUUUUUACUAAGAAUUGGUUACAAAAAACAUAUUCACCAAAAUGCGUUUUAGUCAUUUUAAAAGCACUUACAAACAAGCCUUAAGAAUUGUGAAUUUUUUUUUUUACUCGUAGCUUAUGGUACAAGGACCAACCAACCUUUUACCACUUAAUACUACAGUCUAGUUGUAUUCCUCUUCACUUGUAAGUUAGAGGUCUUAGGUUUAAUUUUUGCCAAAGAUGAAUUUGAAUCAUAUUAUUACUAACUCAUGAUGAGACUUAGUCCACCCCCUCUUACUUAGUGUAGAUAAUAUCGUUUGUUAAAAAAAAUCUUGCAAAAUAAAGGAAAAUGUCACUUAAAAGUAAAUAUCAAUUGGCGUUAUAGUCAAUUAAUUAUUUAUUUCUACAUUUAAAGAAAGUCAAACAAUUCGAGAAAUAUUGAAAUGAGGAAUUACAAGAGUAGAUUUCUAACUAACUUUUAGCUGUUUACUUUUACUAACCCUCCAUAUUAUAUUAUAGGGUAAAUAUAAGUUUACUACCCUUUUUUUUCGUGGUUUUCAUCAUUUGGUACAUCAAGUUUUUUUCGUCCUAGAGUUAUACCUAAAGUGUUAAUUUUGAGACAGUCUCAUACAUCCGUUAGUCAAAUUGUUAAAUCUCCCAUUAACUGAUGACGUGGUGCCCAUGUGGACAAUGACUGGACGCCACUUGUCAUUAAGGGGUCCACGUGGAAUUUAAAAUUAAAAAAAAAAGUGGUCAUCUUUUACCUCCCCCAACGUCUUCUUCCUCAUUUAUCCCUCCAUUCUCUCCUCUACACCAACCCACCAAACCUUCUUCUCCUCUCCUCUUCGACUCGUCAUACAUCCACCCUUCCCCCUCCAUCUUCGACUCCACCCAUCCACCCACCCUUCCCCCUCCAUCCAACCCACCAAACCCUAAUUUCCAUUGUGCCCACUCUAGCCGCUCGCCCUUCCCUCCCCUAAAACUAUCAUUUGUAUUUUCUUAAUCCCAAUUUCUUAAUCAUCUCAAAAUUUUGACAUCAAUUCAUCUCCUAAUUUCAAUAAUUUGUAAUAAUCCCCAAAUUUAAUCGUAGAUCGUACAACGUCGUUCAAAUCGCGAAACCCUUCCUCUUCCUCUACAACCACCACCCCUA